GCGGAAGUGGCGAAAUUGGCAGACGCACCAUCUUGAGGGGGUGGCGCUCGUAAGGGCAUAGGGGUUCAAGUCCCCUCUUCCGCA
rnacentral:tRNA from 1 species